AUUUCACAUUCGUCCUGCCUCCAAUUCUGAGCUGACCUCAAAGCCCAGAUGGCCUUUGCUGUCCCCCAGUUAAGUAAGAAAAGGUGAUGGAAUUUGCCCAAUCCGUCAUGAAUCAGGAAGCUGAUAUGCUCUCUUAGCAGUUCAGAAGAUAAAAUCAGAAAUGUCAAGUGAGGCAGCACCAGCUUGACCUGGUGCUGAGAGACCCAUGGGGGAAUAAGUGCUCAUAAUGAAUUGGUUCCUUCCCGAGGUCUUUGAGGAAGAUGAGAGCAGACAGUGAAAUCCAAUACCGAGAAAAAGGCCACUUCAUAAACACAUCUUGGACUCAGGGAGAGUGUCCCAAAAGGAUGAAAAUUCCAGAAGUAAAAAUGUUCAGAAAUGUAUUUCUUCAAAUGCAGGCCUCUUUGCCAGCCAUAGGCAGGAGCUGGUGAACAGCGAAGGCCCUGAAACUGCUCUGCUCCUACCUGGGCCCUGGAAGAAUCAUAGAACAGUAGAAUCUUAGAAUGAUUUGGGUUGGAAGGGCCCUUCCAGACCACAUGGUUCCAACCCCCCUGCUGUAGGCACGGUCAUCUCCCACUAGACCAGGUUGCUUGAAGCCCCAUCCAGUCUGGCCUUGAAUGCUUCCAGGAAGAGGGCAUCCACAGCCUCUCUGGACAACCUGUCCCAGUGUCUGACCAUCCUCACAAUAAAGAAAAUUUCUUUCCAAUAUGUAGUCUAAAUCUACUCUCUUCCGGUUCAAAACCGUUUCCCCUCAUCCUGUCACUACAUGCCCUUAUCAAAAGUCCCUCUCCAUCUUUCCCAUACCCCUUCAGGUACUGGAAGAAGACAGCCAGGACUUGACUUUACUCUUGAAUAUCGUAUGAAUUCCAUCUGUCAAAACUAGCACUUCCAUUUUGGCCAGUUCCUUCUGCUCAGCAGUAUCUCCCUAUCUCUCAGUUUCACUGAUCCAAACUGUUUCUACUGAAUUCAAAUGUAAAAGAAAAUUUUACACUGGGACUCUAGCCUGUAGGAAAUCCUGACUUUGUUUUUGCCUCUUCAUACACCUGCAUUUAGGAUCAAAAAGCAUUUAUCCGGACCUCAAAAGCCUUGGAUUUGAUAUCCAGAUCUAUCCGUGACCAGCUGUGUAGCUUUAGCAAGUCGUUUGACGUUGUUCAGCUUUCCACUUGCAAAACCCAGUACGGAUGGAAAGCUGUGCACAUGUUAGCUGUGACCUGAGAGCGGGUGUGCAGCCAGGGCUGCUCUAUGCCAGCACCCGAUAGGGAAGCAGCCAGGAAUGCUGCUGGGGAAUAGUGUCAGGAAUAUUGACUAAAAUAUAAAAGAAAGGACAAAGCCUUCCGCAGCAAUAGCCUGGCUUCAUCUGAUGCGGCCUUCCCAAAUCCUGGUAGGAACACAGGGCUUUACGAACUGCUCAAAAUACUUUUUGAAGAGGUUUACAAAUCUGCUUAUCUUUCACAUUGUUUUAUUUUAUGGUUUCUAUGGUAGCCCAUUAAUCUGCAAUGAGAACACACUCUAAUUUGAAGACAGAUGAUGAUACAGGGAUAAAAUGACCUUUCCUUUUCCUUCUGGGAGCCCAUAUAUGCUCUUCACAAAGCACAGAUUAUUAUGGUUUUGUUAGAAAGUUUCUUUUACCGCUCUUGGCUUCUACUUUCAGGAUCACUUUCAUCUGGUUUCCUUCAUGGGCUGAGCAACACUUUCCCCUGGAUUUUGUGCCUUCUCUUUACUUUGUUUUCUCACUGCACAGAGAAAUGCAUGAAGCUGAGGUGAACUUUCAGUUUAUAGUAUCUGAAGGGAUUUGAAUUUAGGUCAGACAAGUUCAGCUAUUCCCAUAGGAUAAUCCUGUUGCUGUACAGCACUGCUGGACAUGCUGCAAAUGCUACAGGCUCCUGUUGGAGAUGAUUCGUGUUUGCAGGUCUGGAAAGAGAACUGGGGACGUGUUAAAUGGAUUCAGUCCAAGCAUAGGGAAACCAGCAGCCAUCCCACUGCUGGGGGUUUCACUGUAGUCACAAACCCUUUAGGAAGGAUGCCAUGCUGGAUUUCUCCACUUUCGUUGCAAUAAAUCUGGAAAAGACAUUGCUGUAACAAAGCAGGCAGCUGGGUCUGAAUGGCUGUCACCCCCCCCACAAGCCAAGGUCAUUUGAAAAGUCUCCAGUGACAGAUGGGCAAAAGCAGCUCUUCCUGCUUCAAAGGCACGGGAUGCUGCCGUGGAGCCAGUUUUUUCUUCUGCAGGUCUUCUUGUCACCGAGCAGGAAGGAAAAGCUGCAAACAAAGGCAACUUCAGCGAUUUUGGAACAUGAAGAAUAAUGUCCUUCACUGCUGCCAAGGCAGGGCUCAGUGCAAAGAGCUGAACGGCACUGAUUCCUACAGUCAAGGACUUAUGCCCCUCUUGUUCCUUUGCAAGAUAAGCUAUUCCCAACUGGAUAUUAACUCUUCCUGCAAAUGCAGUGUCAAAACAAUGGCAGUACAAUACCAAGGUCCAGCAUUUUCCUUAAGAAACUGUGAAGCACCAAGGAGAGCUUCGUUGCAGAAGAAGCAACGCAGACAUACAAUGCAACGAGAUGUGAACACUGAUGGGAACAGCCCAUGGCUUCGAUGUUGGUCACAGAUGCACAGGGCUGAGGACAUAGGGCUGAGGCCACCUCAGGAGGUCCUGCUGUUGCAGGUUCACUCCCAUCAUCUUGCAGUUGUGGUGGAAUCAGGAAUGCACAGAGAAGGUCACUGAAGGGUAACUUAAGUGCCAUGGACCUGAACAUGGAGACUUUGGCACAAAAGAGGGGAGCCAUUCCUGCUCAUUUGCUGUCACUCAUACGUCCAAGAGACAAGGAGCUGUAAAGAACACAGGAAUAAAGAGCAGGAGUGGAUGUCAAGAGAAAGGCAAGUAGGUGGCACGGAGGAUGGGAAGCAAAGAAAAAAAUGCCUGGGUAACGUGGUACUAGAUCUUAAAUGCUGCUCAGUAGGCCUGAAUUGGAUCCUUUUGUGACACCAUCAUAUAACACAUGGAUUUGUAAAUGGAAGCCAUGGGCAAUUUAGGAGACAGCGUGAAGAGAGCUGCAUGUCUUAUCUGUGAACAGCUUCCGUGUUUAAUCCAAAGACUGAAAUAUGUAAGCAUUAUCUGGUCCUACAAAAUGACUCAGAAAGGUGAGGUGAAUCCCUUUUCAGAUGCUUUUUAUUUUAAUAGAUGGUUCCCUUAACAGCUUAGAUUAGUCAAAUAUUCAAGAUUUUCAAGCUUGAAAGAAAAAAAUCCUUAAAAGACCUUUGUUGUUGUUGUUGUUGUUUUGUUUGCUUUUUUUUUUUAACAGUGAUCUUGGCACAACGGUUUGCCUUUGCUGUCUGACACUUUCAGCAAGAGGUAAAUUACAUAGACUAUAGAGUAAAUUUUGUUGAGAUAUGCCUUUUUCUUAAGAAUUUUUUUAAGGUUUAAUUCAACAUUCAAAUUGAGAUUACAGUUAACUUCUUUUGAAUG